rnacentral:rRNA from 1 species
CAAUAGCGUAUAUUUAAGUUGUUGCAGUUAAAAAGCUCGUAGUUGGAUUUCGGUUAAGAGCGACCGGUCCGCCGUUUGGUGUGCACUGGUUGGUUUUAACUUCCUGUAGAGGACGUGCUCUGGGUUUAACGACCUGGACUCGGAGUCUACGUGGUUACUUUGAAAAAAUUAGAGUGUUCAAAGCGGGCUUACGCUUGAAUAUUUCAGCAUGGAAUAACACUAUAGGACUCCUGUCCUAUUUCGUUGGUCUCGGGAUGGGAGUAAUGAUUAAGAGGAACAGUUGGGGGCAUUCGUAUUUCAUUGUCAGAGGUGAAAUUCUUGGAUUUAUGAAAGACGAACUUCUGCGAAAGCAUUUGCCAAGGAUGUUUUCAUUAA